UUAAGUCCAAUUAGAUGCCCUGAAUUCAUAAUUGAUAUCUGUAUGAAGUAGUUUGAUUGUUUGAACUUAGUUUCAUUACGAUACAUCACUUGAUCAAAAUUUGAAUCGACGAUCUGACCGUUGGAUCGUCACCAAACUUUAAUGCAUUAUAGAACGUAAUAUUUGAAGAUAGUUGGAACUGAUGGAUCAGGAAUCUGAUGUAUGAAUCUUCCUGGAUUGGAUUUCUAAGUUAGUAAAAUUAAUUGUUAACCGCCACCUAAUUCUAGCAAUUGGCGGAGAUCUGACCGUUGGAUCUCGAUGAGAAUUUAGUAUGUUGUUCUAUGAGAAUAAUAAGGACCCUAAGAAGUUACAGGUCCAAAAUCCGGUGGGCGGAUCUUUCGGAUCAAAUUACGUGGAGUUGCGAACCCUACCAUUGACCGAGAGUUGACUUUUGGUCAACAUGUCUCGAAACGUUCUGGAUGCUAGAAUUGGUAUUACCAAGGACUAAGUGAAGUCUAGUGGACCCACAUUGGUUAAAGAGUGACUUAAAUAUAGGGGGUAGGGUUAUUACCUUAAAUUCUUAUAUUAGUAUCCGUUGUGAAUACGAAUUGGUUUUAUAAGUGUGAUUUCUAUUGAAAUGUGAUUUUUUUAUAUUUAGCCAUAGACCUAUGUUUAUGAAACAUGAUUUGGCUUGUGUAUUGAUGAUGUUUGUGAUAUAUAUAUAUAAGUGUGUUUAAUUAUCUUUUUAAUAAUGUGAAUGAUAAUUAUGAUGAAUGUUAUGACAAUUAUGGGAUCGACAUAUUGUUUGAUAAUUAUUUGGAUAUGAUUGCAAACUGAAUACCGAUUUGAACUUGGCAUUACUACCUUGCAUGAGAUGGAGAUGAAAGUUAGGAGAUGAGUUAGGUACUUUAUUAGAUUUUGAGUAGAAAUAGUAAUUAAGGGAAUUCCUUGUAUUAUGCUCCAUAUGACUAGAUGCUGGUUGA
rnacentral:lncRNA from 1 species